GAGUAUGUGGUUUAGUGGUAUAACAUUCGCUUGGCACUCGUAGCUUGCGAAAGGGUCCGGCGUUCAAUUUGCCGCUUGUCCA
rfam:Sphaerobolus stellatus SS14 unplaced genomic scaffold SPHSTscaffold_238, whole genome shotgun sequence.